rnacentral:misc_RNA from 1 species
AAAAAAGAGAACUGUAAACGUGGCAGGACGCAUUGCAUAAGAACAAGAUAGUAAUAGUCUUCAUUCCUCACAUCGGUUCUCGUCCCAAAAUCCCACGCGCUAAGAAGUAAGAAUGGCAUCUCCAGCAACGAGGAUCACAUUUCGACUAGUGGUGGCGGUUCUCGUCAUUAUGAUCCUCUUCUACGUUGGUCGUCCUCUCUAUUGGAAAAUCUCCGCCACCAUUCAAGAGAUCCGCGAGAAUAAACGCACCGUCCAACAAGGUUCUCUCUCUUCUCUACCUACCUACAUGCGCCUUUGCAUAUUCAUUUUUCUGAAUCUAUAUCUGUUUGUUGGCGUGUUCUUGCACAGGCAUUUCACAGAUUGUUUACGAAGCGCAGAAAUCGGUUGGUUGGUUCCACGACGAGUCCGAUUCUGGAGUUCGUGAAGAUCGGAAAGCGAUAAAUCGGAGGCUACUCUUUUAAGGUUCUUACUAUUAAUUAGUUGAAGCUUUUUUUUGUUAAAGAAAAUUUUUAUUUACUUUUAGUGUUUGCUAUUCAUAUAGGAUGAUUACAGGAGAAAUCUAUGUGUAGAUCUGGUUCUGGUGCUUGUUUGUAGUAAUAAUUAGAGUAUUUUAUUGUUCUGGUAUUGAAAUUUCUUAGUUUAAGAAUUUCUAUGUUCUGUUUCAUUGUUGAUUUUUGGUGAAAUUGAAUGAAUUAUGGUACAGUCGCUUAUACUUAUAGCACUGCACUCGUUUUCUGUAAAAUUUUCUUUUUUUCUUUUUUUUAGAAGAAUUUUGGUUCUUGAUUAGAUUAAGUCCUAUGUGGGAUUGGUCAUCAAAAUUGUAGGUGCUAAUGACAAAUUGUAUGGUGCUACAUAUAACGUUUUAGCAUAGAAACAUACUAAAUCACUGAAAGGGCGCUGCAAUUAAUUCUUUACCAAAUUUAUUUUUCUGUCAAGCCAACUUGCCUUUAAGUUGGUAAAUGGUACCAACAAGGGCAGAGAGAGUUGGCUUUAGCUUUCGUUUGAGCAUCAUACAUGACUUUGAUUGUUGGUGGAUGGAAAUCAGAUCUAAAACCUGUUUGCUUAGAAGACUUUGAUAUUUAGUUGUUUUUUUUUUUUUUUUGUGGCAACCAUGAGGUUAUUGCAUAACUUCAUCCUUUUGGUGUUUGAACUUAGAAUUUUGUCACCAAUGUUGUUGUCUUAACCUUUUCCUUUACGCUUUGCUAUGUUUUACUAUCUUGAUGAUAUUGAGUUGUUCAUCAUAUUAACGGAUUCUAUAUUCUGUUUGGUGUUCUAUGAAUUUCUGCAGAUUAGAUGUUAUUUGGAAUUUCUGAGCCAUGGUAUAUAAGCCAACCAUUUUCUAGGAAGAAAUUUCUUCGCUGUUACUAAAGAUCUACACUCAGUAGCCAAAGAUUAGUCAUGAUCAUAGUUCCAUAUUCUUAUGGGUUCUGAACUGAUUAAGUUAUCCCAGAAAAAAUGCCAGGGUGAUGGGUGGUAUCAUGAGAUAGUUAAGACUUGCACACGUUGGUUUUCUUUUACUAAUCAUGUUGCUGAUUAAUGCAAUUGCUGUUAUUUUCUAUUGCCCUUUACACCAAAGUGGAUUACUUGUGUUCUUUGAGCCUUGCAUUUCAUUAUGGAAUCCGGAGUGUGUUGUGCUUGUUGAGGUUCAUCAGGUAGCUGUUAAAUAAAAGCUAACCAAUAUUUUGAAUUGUAGUUAGUAAAAAUCACUUUCAAAUAUUUCAAGUAGAUUGGCAUAUUGCAUGCCAUGGUUUUUUCUUAAGAAAAUGAGCUGGGUAUAACUUACUAUCAAAAGUUAGCUCAAGAGGAGAAGGUGUUAAAGGCUUUAUGAGAGACACAUCAUCCUUUUACAAAUCAAUGUGGGAUAUUAACAUUUUUGCUAUUUGGUUCAAGUUUUCAGCAGGUAGAAUCAUGGAGUAGUUACUUCAGAAAUGUCCUCUUCUCUUUUCUGUUAUAUCCUUGAAGAAGCAGGAUAUUUUGCCUCCAAAGCCACUGGUUUAAAGAACAUGGGAAGUGAUGGAUAAUCCAAUUAAUCAAAGCCUAGUAAUACUUCUGUAGUUAGGUAUAGUGGAAUUACGAGGUUUAAUUUAGGAUAAAUUACUAUCUAGUCUAUGAGUUCUGCUAAUAUUAACAAAUCAUUCAUCUAUUCUGAAAACCUAAUUAGUUCAUAUAUUC